ACACAAAACACAUAGAACCCAAGAUGAAAACCUUCCAAAUUUCUUCCUCCUCCCCCCACCUAGAUUUCCAAUUCCAUUACCACCAAAUCCACCCUUUAGAUAAUCAGUUCUCAAUUCCUCGAGAAGAGAGGAGUCCCUCUUGCACCACAGACUUCCCCAGGAAACAGUCGAAACUUCUCGUGUUUCCGUGUCACAUGUGGCACCGCCCGGAGAACAUUUUGCCAUCGUGACCUCUUCCUUCCAUGUCCACUUCUUCCUUCCAUGUCCAGUGCUCUCACCACUGCACAUGGACCAGAGCUGCUUCUAGGGUUUUUCCCUUUAAGGAUACUUUGUCCAGUUCCAAAAAGAGCACAGUCCCUCUCCUUUUGGGACACCUGUCCCCCCCAGAUUUCACCCCCUGGGGCCGAGGGGUCUCUUGAACAGAGAUCAUCUUCCUCUUCCUCUUCUUCGAAGACGGAGGGCACCACCACCACCCUCCUCACCCGUCGUCUCUGUUCACACUCCUCCACAUCACUGCACUCUCCUGGCUCUGAGCCAUCGCCUCCCCCUAGAAUGCAGUCUCUGUGUCACAGAAACACCAGUGGUUCUGCUGUGGCUACACAAGAAAAGUCCAGCCAAAGGCCACUCCAUCAUCUCCUCCCACCUAGGAUUCUUCUCAACAUCCUCUCAAUCUCAUCAACCUCAGGAGGAAUCAGCAUUUGCAAGGUUUCCAUCCUCCCCAGAAGGGUUCAAAGUCCCAGGCUCUGCCUUUGCUUCAUGAACUCCCACGCCUGGCUGCCCUGCUGGGCACCCCCCCCUUCUCCUUCACGCCGGCCGCUAUCACAGGCACCGGCUCUGGCUCUCUCCCUCUCUCCGGGGGGGGGAAUGGAGGAUGGCUGCCCGAAGCCCUUGCAAUGUUCUCUUCCACCCUUGGGCCCAGGCCUGGCCUACCUCCCUCCGGCCACAUGGCUCCCCUCCCCCCCUGCCCAGCUCGGAGCCGGGCAGGGAGGGUUGACGGUCUGCUCAGUCCCAAGAGGAACUCCAAGAGGAAGUUCCCCUG
rnacentral:lncRNA from 1 species